rnacentral:rRNA from 1 species
GAACUUAAGCAUAUCAAUAAGCGGAGGAAAAGAAACCAACAGGGAUUGCCCCAGUAACGGCGAGUGAAGCGGCAACAGCUCAAAUUUGAAAUCUGGCCCCUCCGGGUCCGAGUUGUAAUUUGUAGAGGAUGCUUUUGGUGAGGUGCCGCCCGAGUUCCCUGGAACGGGACGCCACAGAGGGUGAGAGCCCCGUCUGGCUGGCCACCGAGCCUCUGUAAAGCUCCUUCGACGAGUCGAGUAGUUUGGGAAUGCUGCUCAAAAUGGGAGGUAUAUGUCUUCUAAAGCUAAAUAUUGGCCAGAGACCGAUAGCGCACAAGUAGAGUGAUCGAAAGAUGAAAAGCACCUUGAAAAGAGGGUUAAACAGUACGUGAAAUUGUUGAAAGGGAAGCGCUUGUGACCAGACUUGGGCGCGGCGGAUCAUCCGGGGUUCUCUCCGGUGCACUUCGCCGCGUUCAGGCCAGCAUCAGUUCGUCGCGGGGGAAAAAGGCUUCGGGAACGUGGCUCCUCCGGGAGUGUUAUAGCCCGUUGCAUAAUACCCUGCGGUGGACUGAGGACCGCGCAUCUGCAAGGAUGCUGGCGUAAUGGUCACCAGCGACCCGUCUUGAAACACGGACCAAGGAGUCGUCUUCGUAUGCGAGUGUUCGGGUGUCAAACCCCUACGCGUAAUGAAAGUGAACGCAGGUGAGAGCUUCGGCGCAUCAUCGACCGAUCCUGAUGUUCUCGGAUGGAUUUGAGUAAGAGCAUACGGGGCCGGACCCGAAA